CAGCGUUGGCGCAUUCUCAAGUGAGGAGAACUUCAUAAGGGGUGACCCCGAAGGCACAAUUGGGCCUUCGGAGGUCACCCCUUAUGAAGUUCUCCUCACUUGAGAAUGUGCCAACGCUG
rnacentral:pre_miRNA from 1 species